rnacentral:rRNA from 1 species
UACGUAGGGUCCGAGCGUUGUCCGGAAUUACUGGGCGUAAAGAGCUCGUAGGUGGUUUGUCGCGUUGUUCGUGAAAACUCACAGCUUAACUGUGGGCGUGCGGGCGAUACGGGCAGACUGGAGUACUGCAGGGGAGACUGGAAUUCCUGGUGUAGCGGUGGAAUGCGCAGAUAUCGGGAGGAACACCGAUGGCGAAGGCAGAUCUCUGGGCAGUAACUGACGCUGAGGAGCGAAAGCGUGGGGAGCGAACAGG